UACGAAGGGGGCUAGCGUUGCUCGGAAUGACUGGGCGUAAAGGGCGCGUAGGCGGAUGGCACAGUCAGAUGUGAAAUUCCCGGGCUUAACCUGGGGGCUGCAUUUGAUACGUGUUGUCUUGAGUUCGGAAGAGGGUCGUGGAAUUCCCAGUGUAGGGGUGAAAUUCGUAGAUAUUGGGAAGAACACCGGUGGCGAAGGCGGCGACCUGGUCCGACACUGACGCUGAGGCGCGAAAGCGUGGGGAGCAAACAGG
rnacentral:rRNA from 1 species